AAGGAAUAUUGGGCAAUGGAGGCAACUCUGACCCAGCCAUCCCGCGUGAAGGAUUAAGGCCCUAUGGGUUGUAAACUUCUUUUGUUUGGGAAGAAAUCAGGACAUUUAUGUGCUGUUGACGGUACCUUACGAAUAAGCACCGGCUAACUCCGUGCCAGCAGCCGCGGUAAUACGGAGGGUGCAAGCGUUAUCCGGAAUCACUGGGUUUAAAGGGUGCGUAGGCGGUUUGAUAAGUCAGAGGUGAAAGCUAGCAGCUUAACUGUUAAAUUGCCUUUGAUACUGUCAGACUUGAAUCAGGUUGAGGUAGGCGGAAUGUGACAUGUAGCGGUGAAAUGCAUAGAUAUGUCAUAGAACACCAAUUGCGUAGGCAGCUUGCUGGGCUUGAAUUGACGCUGAGGCACGAAAGCGUGGGGAUCAAAC
rnacentral:rRNA from 1 species